UCUCGAUAGCGUAAAAGUUAGCUCUAAUUUGUAUGGUGUUGGAACGUUUGCCUACGUUUGCCGCUAGGGGGCGCCGUCCCAACUGCAUACAAAUGUGAGUUAACUUUUACUCUGUCGA
rnacentral:pre_miRNA from 9 species